AGUAAAAUAUACAAUUAUUGGACGCAGACGUCCGGGUUUCGUGACAGGCGAGCCGUUUCAUUAAACUUGGUUCGUUGUCGACGAAACCUGCACGAUCUAUGACCGCAUCAAC
rnacentral:pre_miRNA from 1 species